UACAGAGGUGGCAAGCGUUGUUCGGAAUUACUGGGCGUAAAGGGCGCGUAGGCGGCCAUCUAAGUCAGACGUGAAAUCCCCGGCUUAACCUGGGAACUGCGUCUGAUACUGGACGGCUUGAGUUUGGGAGAGGGAUGCAGAAUUCCAGGUGUAGCGGUGAAAUGCGUAGAUAUCUGGAGGAAUACCGGUGGCGAAGGCGGCAUCCUGGACCAACACUGACGCUGAGGCGCGAAAGCUAGGGGAGCAAACGGG
rnacentral:rRNA from 1 species